rnacentral:tRNA from 1 species
GCCUGGGUGGCUCAGUGGUUGAGCAUCUGCCUUUAGCUCAGGGUGUCAUCUCGGGUCCAGGGAUUGAAUCCCUCUUUGGGCU